CAGUAGCCGCGGGAAAACGUAGGUGGCAAGCGUUGUCCGGAAUUAUUGGGCGUAAAGGGCUCGCAGGCGGUUUCUUAAGUCUGAUGUGAACGCCCCCGGCUCAACCGGGGAGGGUCAUUGGAAACUGGGAAACUUGAGUGCAGAAGAGGAGAGUGGAAUUCCACGUGUAGCGGUGAAAUGCGUAGAGAUGUGGAGGAACACCAGCGGCGAAGGCGACUCUCUGGUCUGUAACUGACGCUGAGGAGCGAAAGCGUGGGGAGCGAACAGGAUUAGAUACCCCAGUAGUCCCUGUCUCUUAUAC
rnacentral:rRNA from 1 species